rfam:Ixodes scapularis strain Wikel colony gcontig_1108379380048, whole genome shotgun sequence.
UGGGACUGAGUAUUACAUCAGGUACUGGUCUGGUUGCUGGGUACCAGUAUCUGUGUGAUAUUCACCCCUC